UAACAAAUAGCUUAUUUAAAGCAUAGUGCUGAAGAUACUAAAAAGAUAUUAAUCUUUGUUAA
rnacentral:tRNA from 1 species